rnacentral:lncRNA from 1 species
UCACGCCCAGACGUCCCAAGGUAUGAGCUGUAGAUACGCAUGUGAGCGCUGGUGGGAGACGCCAGGCUGGGAUUUCCGCUCGAUCUGGGAAUGAGCAAUGCAACCUAAUGACACCCGGAGCUCCUGAAUCACCUGGGGAAGAUGAAGAGAGACACUCUCUGGUGGGAACGUCUCCUAGAAACAAGGCCUAAGAUGGGGCGACCACAGCCCCACAGCUGUGUCCAGAUGCAGGGAGCACUCGCCUGUGCUGUGAGGGACGGCCGGUGUCAUCGUUGGAGCUUCCUAAGACUCCCAGAGGCUGAUGCACCUCCCAGACCCGCCUCCGCCCGGCUCCCUGGGCCCUGCUCCAGGGGCUUCAUUGCUCCCUGCCCCGGGUCACCCCUCGGCUCACCGUCUCUCAG